rnacentral:rRNA from 1 species
GACGAACGCUGGCGGCGUGCUUAACACAUGCAAGUCGAACGGUAAGGCCCUUCGGGGUACACGAGUGGCGAACGGGUGAGUAACACGUGGGAACGUACCCUUUGGUUCGGAAUAACUUGGGGAAACUCAAGCUAAUACCGGAUAAGCCCUUAUGGGGAAAGGUUUACUGCCGAAGGAUCGGCCCGCGUCUGAUUAGCUAGUUGGUGAGGUAAUGGCUCACCAAGGCGACGAUCAGUAGCUGGUCUGAGAGGAUGAUCAGCCACACUGGGACUGAGACACGGCCCAGACUCCUACGGGAGGCAGCAGUGGGGAAGAUUGGACAAUGGGCGAAAGCCUGAUCCAGCAAUACCGUGUGAACGAUGAAGGCCUUAGGGUUGUAAAGUUCUUUUAGCAGGGAAGAUAAUGACGGUACCUGCAGAAAAAGCCCCGGCUAACUCCGUGCCAGCCGCCGCCGUAA